UGGGCCUAUAGCUCAGCUGGGAGAGCGCCUGCUUUGCACGCAGGAGGUCAGCGGUUCGAUCCCGCUAGUCUCCACCA
rnacentral:tRNA from 1 species